GAUGAACGCUAGCGGCAGGCCUAACACAUGCAAGUCGAGGGGUAGAACACUUCGGUGUUUGAGACCGGCGCACGGGUGCGUAACGCGUAUGCAAUCUGCCUUACACUAAGGGAUAGCCCAGAGAAAUUUGGAUUAAUACCUUAUAGUAUAUUGAUGAGGCAUCACAUUAUUAUUAAAGCUUUAUUGGUGUAAGAUGAGCAUGCGUCCCAUUAGCUAGUUGGUAUGGUAACGGCAUACCAAGGCGAUGACGGGUGGGGGUCCGGAGAGGGAGAUCCACCACACAGGAACUGGGGCACGGACCAGACCCCGACGCGAGGGCGCAGUGAGGAAUAUUGGUCGAGCGUCGCAAGACUGAACAUGCCAGGCCGCGUGCAAGAUGAAGCAUCUAUGGUGUGUAAACUGCUUUUGUACGGGAAGAAACACCUCUUCGUGGGGAGGCUUGACGGUACCGUAAGAAUAAGGAUCGGCUAACUCCGUGCCAGCCGCCGCAGUAA
rnacentral:rRNA from 1 species